GUGGCCAUUUUUAUUUCCCAGCAACAUUGCUCCUGUGACUGCCAACUUACUGUAAUGUGUAGGGUAGAAGUUUGAAUACAUGUGUGAUAUUCGAAGAGCACAUUGGACAGCUUUAGAAUUUAAAAAAAAUUCACCCAACCAUCAAAUUCAUGUACCUGCACUAGGAAGCAACCAGAAAAACCCAUAUUUAUCAACAAUAAUGUCACCAAUUCCCUUAAAUGUGUCCUGUUGUACACAUCUGGAAUAAUCAGCACUGCCUUAUAAUUAGGCAACUCUUUCUUCUCGAUAUUUAAAUAAGUCUGCAAAACAUAAAUCCAAAUAGCCUCCAAAUCAGCAACGAUGGAUGUGAUCGAGCCACCAGGCCCAGUAUGAAUAUUAAAAUCGCCGCGCCUGUAAGGAAAAUGUAUAUUAAAGUGCUCGUCGAUAUUCAUUCUUAAAAUCUGUAAUGGCAAGUUAUAAUGUACACAUUUUUAAUAAAUAAUAAAGCAUA